AUUGAACGCUGGCGGCAGGCUUAACACGUGCAAGUCGAGCGGUGUGAUGGUGCUUGCACUAUCACUUAGCGGCGGACGGGUGAGUAAUGCUUAGGAAUCUGCCUAUUAGUGGGGGACAACAUCUCGAAAGGGAUGCUAAUACCGCAUACGUCCUACGGGAGAAAGCAGGGGAUCACUUGUGACCUUGCGCUAAUAGAUGAGCCUAAGUCGGAUUAGCUAGUUGGUGGGGUAAAGGCCUACCAAGGCGACGAUCUGUAGCGGGUCUGAGAGGAUGAUCCGCCACACUGGGACUGAGACACGGCCCAGACUCCUACGGGAGGCAGCAGUGGGGAAUAUUGGACAAUGGGGGGAACCCUGAUCCAGCCAUGCCGCGUGUGUGAAGAAGGCCUUAUGGUUGUAAAGCACUUUAAGCGAGGAGGAGGCUCUUUUGGUUAAUACCCAAGAUGAGUGGACGUUACUCGCAGAAUAAGCACCGGCCAACUCUGUGCCAGCCGCCGCAGUAA
rnacentral:rRNA from 1 species